rnacentral:rRNA from 1 species
GACGAACGCUGGCGGCGUGCUUAACACAUGCAAGUCGAACGGAAAGGCCCUGCUUUUGUGGGGUGCUCGAGUGGCGAACGGGUGAGUAACACGUGAGUGACCUGCCCUUGACUUUGGGAUAACUUCAGGAAACUGGGGCUAAUACCGGAUAGGAGCUCCUGCUGCAUGGUGGGGGUUGGAAAGUUUCGGCGGUUGGGGAUGGACUCGCGGCUUAUCAGCUUGUUGGUGGGGUAGUGGCUUACCAAGGCUUUGACGGGUAGCCGGCCUGAGAGGGUGACCGGCCACAUUGGGACUGAGAUACGGCCCAGACUCCUACGGGAGGCAGCAGUGGGGAAUAUUGCACAAUGGGCGGAAGCCUGAUGCAGCAACGCCGCGUGCGGGAUGACGGCCUUCGGGUUGUAAACCGCUUUCGCCUGUGACGAAGCGUGAGUGACGGUAAUGGGUAAGGAAGCACCGGCUAACUACGUG